rnacentral:lncRNA from 1 species
GUCUCUGAAAACACUGAAUGCCAUUUUUCAUGCUGGCCAGAAAGGCUGUACCAGGGGAGCGAGAAGGUGGAGCUAAGAGUGAUCAAGAGUAAUCUGAGAGAGCCUCCAGCUAACUAGGCUUCAAGUGAUACCUGUUCUGUGGAUGGAUUAACCAGAUUCUGGCUGCUGUUGUCCUGUGCUGCAAGUAGCUUUCAACACUCCCCCAAAACUCUCCUGCCCAGAUUAGGCACAUGGAGCUGACGGAGACCAACUGUGAUCCCUCAGGAGUGCACAAUUUGGCCUUCCAGAAUGACAGUGAAAGUGUGGAUACUACAAAUCUCAAAGGCCUUGGAGACAGUUCACAGAAAAUCAAGAAUUCACAAAAUAAAAGAACAGGACACACUAAUCAGCAACUAUCUGAGGGCUUUCCAGGACUUCCGGCAGCCCCUGCAGCAGGAAAUCCAGACAGAAUGCAGGGGCCAGGGCAAGGUCUGUGGUGGGCCUUGCUUUCCACAGCAGAUUGGGAGAUGGAGUUAGAAACAACAGUGGCAGAAAAAGAAAAGGUAAACCUACUUGCAGAUUGCCACUGUUCCAAAAGUGCCUGGGGGUACUGUGGGCCACUCCUCUCAAGAGGGUAGAACAUGUCCACUCGAU